GGAAUUACUGGGCGUAAAGCGUGCGCAGGCGGUCCGCUAAGACAGAUGUGAAAUCCCCGGGCUUAACCUGGGAACUGCAUUUGUGACUGGCGGGCUAGAGUAUGGCAGAGGGGGGUAGAAUUCCACGUGUAGCAGUGAAAUGCGUAGAGAUGUGGAGGAAUACCGAUGGCGAAGGCAGCCCCCUGGGCCAAUACUGACGCUCAUGCACGAAAGCGUGGGGAGCAAACA
rnacentral:rRNA from 1 species